rnacentral:tRNA from 1 species
GGGCCCUUAGCGUAGCUGGCUAGCGCGUCUCCAUGGCAUGGAGAAGGUCACGAGUUCGAAUCUCGUAGGGUCCA